rnacentral:rRNA from 1 species
GAAGGUAGCGUAAUCAUUUGUCUUUUAAAUAGAGACCUGUAUGAAUGGCAUAACGAGGGUUUAACUGUCUCCUUCCCCUAGUCAAUGAAAUUGAUCUGCCCGUGCAGAAGCGGACAUAAAUACAUAAGACGAGAAGACCCUAUGGAGCUUUAGACAAAAGAUCAAACAUGUAAAGAAACCAAAAACCCAAAAGGAACACAAAGACCGUAAAACCAGACGUAAACUGAUCCAAAUGUCUUCGGUUGGGGCGACCAUGGGGGAAAGAAAAACCCCCACGAGGAACAGGGAAUACCCCUAAACUUAAGAGAGACACCUCCAAGUAACAGAAAAUCUGACCAAAAAUGACCCAGGAUAUUAAUCCUGAUCAACGAACCAAGUUACCCUAGGGAUAACAGCGCAAUCCUUUCCCAGAGUCCAUAUCGACGAAAGGGUUUACGACCUCGAUGUUGGAUCAGGACAUCCUAAUGGUGCAGCCGCUAUUAAGGGUUCGUUUGUUC